GACGAACGCUGGCGGCGUGCUUAACACAUGCAAGUCGAACGGAAAGGCCCUGCUUUUGUGGGGUGCUCGAGUGGCGAACGGGUGGGUAACACGUGAGUAACCUGCCCUUGACUUUGGGAUAACUUCAGGAAACUGGGGCUAAUACCGGAUAGGAGCUCCUGCUGCAUGGUGGGGGUUGGAAAGUUUCGGCGGUUGGGGAUGGACUCGCGGCUUAUCAGCUUGUUGGUGGGGUAGUGGCUUACCAAGGCUUUGACGGGUAGCCGGCCUGAGAGGGUGACCGGACACAUUAGGACUGAGAUACGGCCCAGACUCCUACGGGAGGCAGCAGUGGGGAAUAUUGCACAAUGGGCGGAAGCAUGAUGCAGCAACGCCGCGUGCGGGAUGACGGCCAUCGGGUUGUAAACCGCUUUCGCCUGUGACGAAGCGUGAGUGACGGUAAUGGGUAAAGAAGCACCGGCUAACUACGUG
rnacentral:rRNA from 1 species